AUUGAACGCUGGCGGCAGGCCUAACACAUGCAAGUCGAGCGAGCGGCGGACGGGUGAGUAAUGUAUGGGGACUGCCCGAUAGAGGGGGAUAACUACUGGAAACGGUAGCUAAUACCGCAUACUAUCGGAUAACCCAUAUGGGAUUAGCUAGUUGGUGAGGUAAUGGCUCACCAAGGCGACGAUCCCUAGCUGGUCUGAGAGGAUGAUCAGCCACACUGGGACCUAGAAACGGCCCAGACGCCAAGGGAGGCAGCAGUGGGGAAAAUUGGCACAUUGGGGGAAGCCUGAUAGAGCCAGGCCGCGUGGAAGAAGAAGGCCCUAGGGGUUUAAAGGUCUUUCCGUUGGGAAGCGGUACCGACAGAAGAAGCACCGGCUAACUCCGUGCCAGCAGCCGCGGUAAUAC
rnacentral:rRNA from 1 species